rnacentral:rRNA from 1 species
AUUGAACGCUGGCGGCAUGCUUUACACAUGCAAGUCGAACGGCAGCACGGGGGCAACCCUGGUGGCGAGUGGCGAACGGGUGAGUAAUACAUCGGAACGUGUCCUGUAGUGGGGGAUAACCUGGCGAAAGCCAGGCUAAUACCGCAUAAGCUCGGGAGAGGAAAGCGGGGGAUCGGCAACGACCUCGCGCUGGUGGAGCGGCCGAUGUCCGAUUAGCUAGUUGGUAGGGUAAAGGCCUACCAAGGCGACGAUCGGUAGCUGGUCUGAGAGGAUGAUCAGCCACACUGGGACUGAGACACGGCCCAGACUCCUACGGGAGGCUG